rnacentral:rRNA from 1 species
UACGUAGGGGGCAAGCGUUGUCCGGAAUCAUUGGGCGUAAAGCGCGCGUAGGCGGCUCAGUAAGUCCGCUCUGAAAGCUUGGGGCUUAACCCCAAGAGGCGGGCGGAUACUGCUGGGCUCGAGUCCGGAAGAGGCGAGUGGAAUUCCUGGUGUAGCGGUGAAAUGCGCAGAUAUCAGGAAGAACACCGGUGGCGAAGGCGGGUCUCUAGGCCGACACUGACGCUGAGGAGCGAAAGCGUGGGGAGCGAACAGG